rnacentral:lncRNA from 1 species
ACAGGUAAUGGGAACAUUACAUCUGGUCUUCUUCAGGAUGAGUCACACACUUUUCCUCUUUUCUAAUUCUGCAGCGACUUGGCACCUCUGUGUGAUGAAAUCCAUAUACUGGCUGUGGUAAAAGGGCUGAGCUAAACACAGAGCAGAUGAAGAGAUACAGGCCAUCUACCAAAGCAAGUUUACAUAUCAACUCAGCUGGAUCCAGUUGCCUGUGAAGCAGAAAUCCUGUGUAGCCCUGAUUACAUCACUGGAGUGAAGUGAUUGUAUCUUUCCAGGAGCAACUUCAUUAUCUGUGCAUGGGUAUGUACAGCUUGUGGGACCAUAAAAAAACCUCUCAGUGUAAAGGCAAAGAGCUUUCUCCUUCUGGGCAUAGAUGGAGUCAAGAGACUGAAUGAACCAUCCACAUCUUGCUGCAUUGUCUUCCAUUAUCUCUCAGCCUUUACAUCAGAAACACCAGAAGAAAACAUGGUGAAAUGCAGACCCUCCAUGUGCCACAGGCUGCUGGGAAUGACAGGACACAUUCUUCCAGGGCUGCCUGAUGACUGCUCCAGAAGGUACACUACAGGAGUGGAUAAGGACCCACUAGAAGCCAGGAAGUCUCUAAUGUAUUGUCCUUUCAAGCAAACAGCUUUAGCUUUUUAAUUCUCCACUUACAUUAAUCAUGCCUGUCAUGAGCCACUUGGAGAGCUGCAGCCACCUCAGUGUGGCCUGCAAAGCUUCCUGCUUCACUCAGAGCUCUGCUUCUUCAAGUUUCCCUUCCCAAUGUUUGUAUGAAGCCUACAGGAG